AGGAAGGAAGGAAGGAAGGAAGGAAGGAAGGAAGGAAGGAAGGAAGGAAGCCAUUCCUAGCUUUUACCAGCUGCUAGAGGCUGCCUGCAUUCCUCUCUGCUUCACUCGUCACAUCUCCUUCCCUCACUCUGAUCCUCCUGCCUCACUCUUAUAAGGAUCUUUGCAAUGACACUGAGCCCUCUCGGAUAAUCUAAGAUAAUCACCCUAUCUCAGGAUCUUUGACUUAAUGACACCUGCAAAGCCCGUUUUGCCAUAGAAGCCAAGUCAUCCUGAGAGUGAAGCUGGAGGAGGACACAGCUUUAGGAAUCAAAAACAAGCAGGGCUAAAGACCUAAUGUCCACAUGAACCUCUGAGUCAAAAUAUAUGUGGGCAUUGUCAAAGUUCUGGCCAAUGGGGAGUAUUACAUUACUCUUUCUCCUGCUUCCUGGAAUACAGAGUUGAGUGCUGGAGCUUCAACAGCAAUCUUGCAGCAAGAGCUGAAACAGAUUAAUACCAUGGAACAGACAGAAAUAACCUAGGCCUCCACUGACUUUGUGAACCGACACCAAUCCUGAUCCACCUUCUUGUGGUCUUCUUUUGCAGAAAUCUGUUUGGGAAGCAGAGAAAGGAAGGCAAGGGGUCUAGCAGAUCAGCUUUUUGGGCCAGCUUCGUCAAGUCAGAGGCCUUGAGGACUCACAGUCUACGUGGAGAUAGAUGGGCACCAGGGGCUGCAUCUCUAGCUCUAUGAUCAGAGGAUUUUCCUCCAGACAAUACUGGGUGAAUGUGGUUCAACCUUGCUUCUUCAACCACCAACAUGUAUUCCUUGCUCUGAAUCUAUAGUCUUUAGAUGGGUCAUCACCAUUACUAAGUUUCUAGUCAGACCUGCUACUACUGUUACUGACUUCAGACUGAUCUUUUACAUAAUUUUUUUUUUGAGAAUUUAGAACACAUGCCGAAGCAGACAGCCUAAGGUAAUGAAUCUCCUAUUUACCCCUCAUCCCACCCCAACAAUCACCUUCCCAUAGCCAAUGCUGCCCCAUCAUACCCCCAUCUGUUUCCCUCCAUCCCAGAUUAUUUUGAAGCACAUCCUAGACAUCCUAUAAUUUCACCUGUUAAUAUUUCAGAAGGUAUCUUUAAAAGAUAAAGGUCAGGCUGGGCGUGAUGGUUUAUACCUGUAAUCCCAGCACUUUGGGAGGUCAAGGAGGGAAGAUUGCUUAAACCCAGGAGUUCAAGACCAGCUUGGACAACAUAGUGAGACUCUGUUUCUACAAAAAAAAUAAAGAAUUUA